rnacentral:lncRNA from 1 species
AUGAAUCAGCAUCCAAUAUGUAGGGAUCGGCAACUCUUUUACCCUUGUCAAUCAUCCUCAAGUUGGGCAUGUCCAGAAUGAUGCAAUAGUCGGCAAGAAACUUGAUAACCUUAGAUGAAUUCCAGUUAAUGAACUGACAGGUAAUAGGUUGAGCUUGAAUUGGGGAACAAACAAUACAUCUUCAAGUAUUAGCUCAGGACUUAUCUUCACGGUUCUAUUGAAAUAAACAAGAAUUUGUUCAUGAUUGGGCAAUGUGAUAUAUGCAUUUUGGAUUGCAUUCAGUGUGUGGAAAGCAGAUUUGGUGAAACAAAUGUGUGUUGUUGUCCCUAAAUCCAUCACCAAAUAUCUAAGGGAAUAGAGUAUUGGGUUAAGGGAAAUGGAGAAACAGGUACCUGAUGUAUGGCCACAGUUAACCUUAUCUGUAGCAUCUACCUUUACUGAUGUGAGAUGAGUACUUAGCAUAUUCAUCAAGUGUUGAUAACGUGCAACAUUAAGAGUAUUCAUGAAUUUUCCUACCUUCCCAUUUGUAUGCUCAAGGGUGGAUUCAUACACUUGAUUCAUAAUAGCCUGAUUCGUGUGACUCCUGGCUCUUUGAUUAGGAUCAGGUUUCUGCUUAGCCUUAUACCUGGGAGGACAACCACGUAAUUUGUAACACUUGUCAAUAUCAUGGCCACUAUAUCCACAAUAAGUGCAUAUUGGUCUCUCCUUCAUCUGGUGUUUGGUAUAAGAUUGCCCAGUAGCAGAUUUCUUGGCAUCAUUUCUGACAUAGAAUGCUAUAAGAUCGGAUGAUCUAGCAAUAGUGUUGACACUUCUUUGAUGCCCUUCCUAUGAUACUAGAGCAAAUACCUUAUUUAUGAGAGGGAUGGGAUCCAUUAACAGAAGUUGGCCUCUAAGUUGAGCAAAUAAAACACUUAGUCCCAUCAGAAAUGACACAGCAUAUUCCAUGUGGUAGUGAUCAACUAGCUUUUUGGCGCCUCUACAUUCACAUUUUCCACAGGUACAUGCAGGUCUGUAAUUGCCUCAAUUCCUCCCAAAUGUUCUUCAAUUUGGUGAAAUAAACUUCUUCAGAAGACUGUCCAUGGUUGAGGUUCAUUAACUCUCUUCUUAACUGGAAAAUGCAAGGACCAUUUCUCUGCUAGUACCUCUCCUUGAGAUCCAUAUAGAUCUUGUAUACAGCAUCAGCAUAUCCUUGGAAACUGAGUUAAGGAUCCAUGAUAUCACAAUAUUAUUAUUGUAAAUCCGGGAUUUAGGCAACUCAUUAUUGUCUUUUGGUCAAGGUAUGAGGCCAUCAAUGAAGCCUAGUUUGUUCUUCACCAACAAUGUAAUUGUCAUAUAUCUAUUCCAUGAGGCAUGGUUGUCUCCGAUUAAUGGCUUUGAAACCAUGAUUAAGCCUGAACUUCCGAAUGAUAUAGGUAAUAAGGUCUAGAACCAUCAUCAAUGGCGAUAUAACUCAUUGAUGAGGAAUUGCUUGAUUGAUUUUGAUCAACAACUUCAGUUGCCAUAGUGAUGUUAUUCAGAAUAUCAGAAUUUUUGAUGAAGAUGAAAAGGAACAAACGAGAUGAUAAGUAGCUUAAAACUCUGAUACCAUGUUACGAAAGAACGGAAAACAAUCGGAUUGAUCUUCUUCGUCAAAAAUGAGAUUUACAGUGUGAUAUAAAUAGACUAAGAACUAACAUUCUGUUUUACAAAAACCAAUACAAAUUCGACAUGUGGAUUAACGGCCCCAAUUAUCCUAAAAAACUUCCAGCUCAGCAUAACUAAUUGUAGCUGCUUCUAGCUUGCUGUGAUUUCACAUAUUCUGUUAGGAUCAACAAAGAUCUAAAUCAUGGAAAAUAUGAUAGGUAUGUACAGGAUAUAUGGAGCUUGGGAGUAAGCAUUCUUGAAUUUUACUUGGGCAUAUUUAUAUUUGCUAUUGGUAGAGAAGAGAAUUGAGCAAGCCUUAUCUGUGCAAUUUGUAUGUCGGAUCCUUCCAAGUCCCCUGCUACGCCUUCAAGGGAAUUCAAGGAUUUCAUCUCAUGCUGUCUUCAAAGGUCUCAUCUAGAAAGAUGGGAUGGGUUGCAGGGAUCCUGCUCUGGUAAAAAAGCAAACCCUCCGGUAAAAUCUAUUAUCAAAGCCAAAAAAAUAAUAAUAAUAAAAAUAAUGAAAUGGCAAAAUAACCAGAAACAGAGCACCCCGUGAAAGCUUUUGGGUGGGCGAUCGUGGUCGGUUUUGGUUAGGAAGGGGUGGGGUGGUGUGGGGUAGAAGAUGGAUUUUAUUUUUUC